AGAGUUUGAUCCUGGCUCAGGAUGAACGCUAGCGGCAGGCCUAACACAUGCAAGUCGAGGGGUAACGAUGUGCUUGCACCAGGCGACGACCGGCGCACGGGUGAGUAACGCGUAUGCAACCUACCUCUAACUGGGGCAUAGCUCUCGGAAACGGGAAUUAAUAUCCCAUAAUAUCAUAAAUUCGCAUGUUUUUAUGAUUAAAGCUCCGGCGGUUAGAGAUGGGCAUGCGUGCCAUUAGCUUGUUGGUGAGGUAACAGCUCACCAAGGCUACGAUGGCUAGGGGGUCUGAGAGGAUGGUCCCCCACACUGGCACUGAGACACGGACCAGACUCCUACGGGAGGCAGCAGUGAGGAAUAUUGGUCAAUGGACGCAAGUCUGAACCAGCCAUGCCGCGUGCAGGAUGAAUGCCCUAUGGGUUGUAAACUGCUUUUAUACAGGAAGAAACUUCCGAUCGUGAUCGGGACUGACGGUACUGUACGAAUAAGCAUCGGCUAACUCCGUGCCAGCAGCCGCGGUAAUACGGAGGAUGCAAGCGUUAUCGGAUUUAUUGGGUUUAAAGGGUGCGUAGGCGGAUGAAUAAGUCAGUGGUGAAAUCCUGCAGCUUAACUGUAGAAUUGCCAUUGAUACUGUUUUUCUUGAGUAUAGUUGAGGUGGGCGGAAUGUGUAAUGUAGCGGUGAAAUGCUUAGAUAUUACACAGAACUCCAAUUGCGUAGGCAGCUCACUAAGCUAUUACUGACGCUGAGGCACGAAAGCGUGGGGAGCGAACAGGAUUAGAUACCCUGGUAGUCCACGCUGUAAACGAUGAUCACUCGUUGUUGGCGAUACACAGUCAGUGACCAAGCGAAAGCAUUAAGUGAUCCACCUGGGGAGUACGGUCGCAAGAUUGAAACUCGAAGGAAUUGACGGGGGCCCGCACAAGCGGAGGAACAUGUGGUUUAAUUCGAUGAUACGCGAGGAACCUUACCUGGGCUUAAAUGCAGAACGACAGAUUGGGAAACUGAUCCUUCUUCGGACGGACUGCAAGGUGCUGCAUGGUUGUCGUCAGCUCGUGCCGUGAGGUGACGGGUUAAGUCCCAUAACGAGCGCAACCCUUAUCGUUAGUUACCAGCGAGUAAUGUCGGGAACUCUAACGAAACUGCCGGUGUAAACCGAGAGGAAGGUGGGGAUGACGUCAAAUCAGCACGGCCCUUAUGUCCAGGGCUACACACGUGUUACAAUGGUCAGUACAAAGGGCAGCUACCUGGUGACAGGAUGCUAAUCUCGAAAACUGGUCUCAGUUCGGAUCGAAGUCUGCAACUCGACUUCGUGAAGCUGGAUUCGCUAGUAAUCGCGCAUCAGCCAUGGCGCGGUGAAUACGUUCCCGGGCCUUGUACACACCG
rnacentral:rRNA from 1 species